AACGGACGCUGGUGGUAUGCUUAACACAUGCAAGUCGAGCGGGCUUAGAGGGGCAACUCUUUAAGUCAGCGGCAAACGGGUGAGGAAUAUAUAGGAAUCUCCCCAGCAGUAAGGAAUAACAUUGGGAAACCAAUGCUAAUGCCAUAUAUUACCGAUUUAUCGGGAAAGAUUUAUCGCUGUUGGAUGAGCCUUUAUCGGAUUAGCUAGUUGGUAGGGUAAUGGCCUACCAAGGCAAUGAUCCGUAGCUGGUCUGAGAGGAUGAUCAGCCACAUUGGGACUGCGACACGGCCCAAACUCCUACGGGAGGCAGCAGUGGGGAAUAUUGGACAAUGGGGGCAACCCUGAUGCAGCAAUACCACGUGAGUGAUGAAGGCCUUCGGGUUGUAAAACUCUUUAGUAGGGAAGAUAAUGACGGUACCUACAGAAAAAGCACCGGCUAACUUCGUGCCAGCCGCCGCCGUAA
rnacentral:rRNA from 1 species